CAGAGUGGGGUAAGCGGCUACGAACUGAAAGCCACAUUCCUUGCCUCUGAAAGCAAAGCUACGGAUGGCUUCUUGAGAAGUGUGAUGGCUAAUCCUAUGUGUCAACUUGGCUGAGCCAUGUUGUUCGCGUAUUUGGCCAAACAUCAUUCUGGAUGGUCCUGUGAGGGUGUUUCAGGGUGAGGUUUGCAUUUAAAUCAGUGGACUUUGGGAAAGCAGAUUGCUCCUUAUAAUGUGGGUGGACCUCAUCCAAUCAGUUGAAAAUGUGAAUAGAACAAAAGAAGGACCUCCCCCAAGCAAGAGAGGGCUCGGCCAGCGGCCUGCCUGCGGACUGCAGCUGCAUCACUGGCUCUGCGCCACGGCUUCACACUGACAGCCUUCGACGUAAAUGACAACAUCCGCCCUUACUGAGACUCCAGCCUGCUGUCCCAUUCCACAAAUUUUGAGUUUGCCAGCCUCCAACUCCUUAAAAUAAGGAGUUGGCUCUGUUUCUCUGGAGAACCCUGACUAAUCCAAGAGGAACGGAAGGAAUAAAGAAACAUCACUCCAGGUGAUCUGAAGAAAUUAAAACUAUGAUGCAGGUUGUUUGGAAAAAAGCAACCUAGUCCAAAACCAAACGGUGGAAAGCAAACUGACUUAGGCAUUAGAUUAGCUGAAACGACAAAGUGAUCAAAAAUGAAGAGUUCACUCCCCAACUUUUCUUGUUCCUGGAUCAUUUUUGUACUCAAUUGUUCCAGGACCAUGUUCUGUCCUUUCCAAGUGCGAUUCCUAUAACAUCCCAUUUAACUCACCGAUUGGGCUUGGCAGAGGCAGAUGGGUCUCAGAGAAUGGCUGUAGAAUAUCAAAUUCAGGGGUACAGGAUCAAAUCUGAAGAUGAAAGUUUGGAGGAGAACCACAAAGUAUGCUGUGGAAAACAUCUGAGCAGAGAAGAUUCAAGAUAAAAUAAAUAAAGGACUAGCAGUUCUGUUGUGAUAAAAUUCAGAUCAGCCUCCUCCUUCUUUUCUACUGUUACAGCCUUGAUGGCAAUAAUUUUUAAUCUCCCUGUUUAGUAAAUUAAAUGAAAUGGUAAUAAUGACCAGCCCCAAAUUUUCAAGCCUAUUUUCAGUUUAGCAUACUAGUAGCCUAGAUUCUCCUUGCCAUAUGCUAUUCCCAUAGAACAACCCAACUUCAUUUAUCAGUUCUCCAAGAAAAAAAUCAUUAACACUCUGGAAUGAGGUAAAAUGAACCAAAAAUCUCCCUCAGUAGAACCCCAUAAAAUGAUCAAUAGGUAGAUAUAAUUAAAUUAUAAGGGUGCCUGAAAGUGAGACAAUCAGAUUGAGCCACUGUGGCCCCAGAGCAGCACAGUCAAGAAACACUACCAGCAUGCUGCAACAUUUCCUCACUUAUGUCUCCCAUCAGUUAUGAUUUUAUAAUGACCUCAUUGUACUUCAUAGAUGCAGUGAAAGCGAUUUGCAUAGCCUUUCCUCCAUCACUUGGCCCUUUAUUUUGGAAGCACAAUUGAUUUUAUGAACACAAAUACCCUUUCUCAAACAUAAAUGUCUCCUUACAUUUUUGUUACAGAUUGUAAUACAAGCUUUUAUUUUAUGGCUUCUUUCUU